GACGAACGCUGGCGGCGUGCUUAACACAUGCAAGUCGAACGGAAAGGCCCUGCUUUUGUGGGGUGCUCGAGUGGCGAACGGGUGAGUAACACGUGAGUAACCUGCCCUUGACUUUGGGAUAACUUCAGGAAACUGGGGCUAAUACCGGAUAGGAGCUCCUGCUGCAUGGUGGGGGUUGGAAAGUUUCGGCGGUUGGGGAUGGACUCGCGGCUUAUCAGCUUGUUGGUGGGGUAGUGGCUUACCAAGGCUUUGACGGGUAGCCGGCCUGAGAGGGUGACCGGCCACAGUGGGACUGAGAUACGGCCCAGACGCCUACGGGAGGCAGCAGUGGGGAAUAGUGCACAAUGGGCGGAAGCCUGAUGCAGCAACGCCGCGUGCGGGAUGACGGCCUUCGGGUUGUAAACCGCUUUCGCCUGUGACGAAGCGUGAGUGACGGUAAUGGGUAAAGAAGCACCGGCUAACUACGU
rnacentral:rRNA from 1 species